rnacentral:rRNA from 1 species
UACAGAGGGUGCAAGCGUUGUUCGGAAUUAUUGGGCGUAAAGGGCGCGUAGGCGGUGCGGUAAGUCUGUAGUGAAAUCUCUGGGCUCAACUCAGAGUCUGCUGCAGAAACUGCCGUGCUUGAGUGUGGGAGAGGUGAGUGGAAUUCCGAGUGUAGAGGUGAAAUUCGUAGAUAUUCGGAAGAACACCAGUGGCGAAGGCGACUUACUGGACACAUAUUGACGCUGAGGUGCGAAAGCGUGGGAGCAACAGG